GCACGCCGCGUGAGUGAUGAAGGCUUUCGGGUCGUAAAGCUCUGUCAGGGGGAAAGAAGUGCAAGGUGGUUAAUACCCAUUUUGCUUGACGGUACCCCCAAAGGAAGCACCGGCUAACUCCGUGCCAGCAGCCGCGGUAAUA
rnacentral:rRNA from 1 species